UUGCAAAGGUAGCAUAAUAAUUAGUUUAUUAAUUGUAAAAUUGUAUGAACGAAUUUAUAAAGAUAAAAUUGUCUUUAUCUUAAAUUUUGAAUUUUAUUUUUUUAUAAAAAAGUUAAAAUGUUUUAAUAGGACGAGAAGACCCUAUAAAUCUUUUAUUCUAGAUUAGAUUUUAGUUUAUUUUGAUUUAGAAUUUUGUUGGGGCGACAUGUGAAAAAUAAAACUUCAUUAGUAUAAAAGUUUUAAUAGAAAUUUUAUAUUUUGAUCCUUUAAAUAAAGAUUAAAAGAAUAAGUUACUUUAGGGAUAACAGCGUAAUUGUUUU
rnacentral:rRNA from 1 species